rnacentral:tRNA from 1 species
AGGGUAUUAGUUAAAUUUUUAAUAACAUUUAUUUUGCAAAUAAAAAUUAUUUUAUUUUCUUUAAAUUAUAUCUUU